rnacentral:rRNA from 1 species
GUUGUAUGGUUAAGUGACUAAGCGUACACGGUGGAUGCCUUGGCAGUUGGAGGCGAUGAAGGACGUACUAACUUGCGAUAAGCCUAGUCAAGCCAGUAAGAGGCGCUUGAGACUAGGAUUUCCGAAUGGGGAAACCCACCUGCUUGCAGGUAUCGUUAACUGAAUACAUAGGUUAACGAGGCGAACGCGGAGAACUGAAACAUCUAAGUACCCGUAGGAAAAGAAAUCAACCGAGAUUCCGAAAGUAGCGGCGAGCGAAAUCGGACCAGCCCUUAAGCUUUAGUGUAGUUAGUGGAACAUGUUGGAAAGCAUGACGAAACAGGGUGAUAGUCCCGUACACAAAAACUUAUCUAAAGUGAAAUCGAGUAGGUCGGAGCACGUGAAACUUUGACUGAAUAUGGGGGGACCAUCCUCCAAGGCUAAAUACUCCCAACUGACCGAUAGUGAACCAGUACCGUGAGGGAAAGGCGAAAAGAACCCCUGUGAGGGGAGUGAAAUAGAACCUGAAACCGUGUACGUACAAGCAGUAGGAGCCUACUUGUUGGGUGACUGCGUACCUUUUGUAUAAUGGGUCAGCGACUUAUAUUCUGUAGCGAGGUUAACCAUUUAGGGGAGCCGUAGCGAAAGCGAGUCUUAACUGGGCGCUUAAGUUGCAGGGUAUAGACCCGAAACCCGGUGAUCUAGCCAUGGGCAGGUUGAAGGUUGAGUAACAUCAACUGGAGGACCGAACCCACUAACGUUGAAAAGUUAGGGGAUGACCUGUGGCUAGGAGUGAAAGGCUAAUCAAACCGGGAGAUAGCUGGUUCUCCCCGAAAUCUAUUUAGGUAGAGCCUCGGACGAAUACUUACGGGGGUAGAGCACUGUUAAGGCUAGGGGGUCAUCCCGACUUACCAACCCUUUGCAAACUCCGAAUACCGUAAAGUAAUAUCCGGGAGACACACGGCGGGUGCUAACGUCCGUCGUGGAGAGGGAAACAACCCAGACCGUCAGCUAAGGUCCCAAAGUGUAUGUUAAGUGGGAAACGAUGUGGGAAGGCUAAAACAGCUAGGAGGUUGGCUUAGAAGCAGCCACCCUUUAAAGAAAGCGUAAUAGCUCACUAGUCGAGUCGGCCUGCGCGGAAGAUGUAACGGGGCUAAACAUACCACCGAAGCUACGGCUGCAGACUUUGUCUGCGGGGUAGGGGAGCGUUCUGUAAGUGGCUGAAGGUGUGCCGGGAGGCAUGCUGGACAUAUCAGAAGUGCGAAUGCUGACAUGAGUAACGACAAGAGGAGUGAAAAACUCCUCCGCCGGAAGACCAAGGGUUCCUAUCCCAUGUUAAUCAGGGUAGGGUGAGUCGACCCCUAAGGCGAGGCUGAAGAGCGUAGUCGAUGGGAAACGGGUUAAUAUUCCCGUACUCGGUAUGAAUGCGAUGGGGGGACGGAGCAGGCUAGGCAAGCAUGGCGUUGGUUGUCCAUGUGAAAGGCUGUAGGCUGGUGACUUAGGAAAAUCCGAGUUGCCAAGGCUGAGAGUCGAGACGAGCCACUAAGGUGGUGAAGUUGUUGAUGCCCUACUUCCAGGAAAAGCCUCUAAGCUUCAGUUCAUACUGAAUCGUACCCUAAACCGACACAGGUGGUCAGGUAGAGAAUACUAAGGCGCUUGAGAGAACUCGGGUGAAGGAACUAGGCAAAAUUGUACCGUAACUUCGGGAGAAGGUACGCUCUUGUUUGUGAAAGACUUGCUCUGUAAGCAAACGAGAGCCGCAGUGACCAGGUGGCUGGGACUGUUUAUUAAAAACACAGCACUGUGCAAAAUCGUAAGAUGACGUAUACGGUGUGACACCUGCCCGGUGCCGGAAGGUUAAUUGAUGGGGUUAGCUUAGGCGAAGCUCUUGAUCGAAGCCCCGGUAAACGGCGGCCGUAACUAUAACGGUCCUAAGGUAGCGAAAUUCCUUGUCGGGUAAGUUCCGACCUGCACGAAUGGUGUAACCAUGGCCACGCUGUCUCCACCCGAGACUCAGUGAAAUUGAAAUCGCAGUGAAGAUGCUGUGUACCCGCGGCUAGACGGAAAGACCCCGUGAACCUUUACUACAGCUUGGCACUGAACAUUGACCCUACAUGUGUAGGAUAGGUGGGAGGCUUUGAAGCAGAGACGCUAGUUUCUGUGGAGCCGACCUUGAAAUACCACCCUUGUAGUGUUGAUGUUCUAACUUAGGCCCCUGAAUCGGGGUUGAGGACAGUGCCUGGUGGGUAGUUUGACUGGGGCGGUCUCCUCCCAAAGAGUAACGGAGGAGCACGAAGGUUUGCUAAGUACGGUCGGACAUCGUACGGUUAGUGUAAUGGUAGAAGCAAGCUUAACUGCGAGACAGACACGUCGAGCAGGUACGAAAGUAGGUCAUAGUGAUCCGGUGGUUCUGAAUGGAAGGGCCAUCGCUCAACGGAUAAAAGGUACUCCGGGGAUAACAGGCUGAUACCGCCCAAGAGUUCAUAUCGACGGCGGUGUUUGGCACCUCGAUGUCGGCUCAUCACAUCCUGGGGCUGAAGUCGGUCCCAAGGGUAUGGCUGUUCGCCAUUUAAAGUGGUACGCGAGCUGGGUUUAGAACGUCGUGAGACAGUUCGGUCCCUAUCUGCCGUGGGCGUUUGAGAAUUGAGAGGGGCUGCUCCUAGUACGAGAGGACCGGAGUGGACGAACCGCUGGUGUUCGGGUUGUGAUGCCAAUUGCAUUGCCCGGUAGCUACGUUCGGAACUGAUAACCGCUGAAAGCAUCUAAGCGGGAAGCAGGCCUCGAGAUGAGUUCUCACUUUGACUUAGAGUCAACUGAAGGGCCGUUGAAGACUACAACGUUGAUAGGCGAGAUGUGGAAGUGCUGUGAGGCAUUAAGCUAACUCGUACUAAUUACCCGUGAGGCUUAACCAUACAACGCCAAAGUGGUUU